rnacentral:lncRNA from 1 species
UUUAUUUAAAAUACGAGAAAUAAGUAACUAAUUAUAUAAUAAAACUUUGAAAUCGAAAUAGAAACAUAUAAAAUAUAAUAGUAAAUUAACUAAAUAAAUAGCAUAUUUUUAGGUGUAUCAAACUCCCCUAAACUUGAACCAUUGCUUGUCCUCAAGCAAUUUAGCUUGCAUAUAGAAAUCAUUUGAAAUGCGAAGCAACUCACACACACAGACUUAGAGAAAAAUAACAUCACAAGUACUCAUACGUGGUCAGAAAUUCAAAUCGGCUAAGAUUAAUUAGUAGGUUCUUUACACAAUCAAAAAGGGUAUUUCAACGACACACAAAGUUCUCCCUCUUAUACAUAUCGAAUUUGGAUCCUGCCGUUGUACUAAAAUCUAAAUCUUCUCCUUUGUUUCAUCCUUUUUCAUUCUAGACAGUCACAUUAAGACCCUUUAUCUAUGUCACACACAUGGUAAGAAAGCCGGUUAGCN